UUUUGUACGACAGGCCCGGCAGUCCCCAGCCCUGCGUAUUUUAUGGAUCGUGCGAUAUUUUUUAUCCUUUUUUGGUCCAUCAAAAAGGCGACCAAUCAAAACCCUAUAGCCCACCAUUUAAAAAACUAGGGAAAAGACGAGCAGCCCCCGCAGUGCCGGCCACGACGAGACAGCAAUAACAACAGCGGCCCGAGCACGAAAACCAGGGCGCACCAACGCCCAAACCUUGACCUUUGCGAGUCGCACCGUAACGCUGGGCAACGGCUGCACCUAAGCCGGUUAGCCGGCUAGCCGAUGCUCUCAAGCCAACCGGCUGAAGCCGGCUACAAGCCGUCAACAAAAAGGAGCGCGAGUGCGAAUAAAAUGCGCACAAUUUGAGCACGACAAUAUCCCGAGUGCGAAUAAGCCGACCGCGAAUGCGAGUUCUUUGUUCUUCACAAUUUGUGCACAA
rnacentral:lncRNA from 1 species